UGGGGAAUUUUGGACAAUGGACGAAAGUCUGAUCCAGCCAUGCCGCGUGCGGGAAGAAGGCCUUCGGGUUGUAAACCGCUUUUGUCAGGGAAGAAAUCCUUUGAGCUAAUACCUCGGGGGGAUGACGGUACCUGAAGAAUAAGCACCGGCUAACUACGUGCCAGCAGCCGCGGUAAUACGUAGGGUGCAAGCGUUAAUCGGAAUUACUGGGCGUAAAGCGUGCGCAGGCGGUUAUGUAAGACAGAGGUGAAAUCCCCGGGCUCAACCUGGGAACUGCCUUUGUGACUGCAUAGCUUGAGUGCGGCAGAGGGGGAUGGAAUUCCGCGUGUAGCAGUGAAAUGCGUAGAUAUGCGGAGGAACACCGAUGGCGAAGGCAAUCCCCUGGGCCUGCACUGACGCUCAUGCACGAAAGCGUGGGGAGCAAACAGGAUUAGAUACCCUGGUAGUCCACGCCCUAAACGAUGUCAACUGGUUGUUGGGAAGGUUCCUUCUCAGUAACGUAGCUAACGCGUGAAGUNGGCCGCCUGGGGAGUACGGCCGCAAGGUUG
rnacentral:rRNA from 1 species